AUUGAACGCUGGCGGCAUGCCUUACACAUGCAAGUCGAACGAGUGUAGCAAUACACAAGUGGCGAACGGGUGAGUAAUGCAUCGGAACGUAUCCUAUUGUGGGGGAUAACGUAGCGAAAGUUACGCCAAUACCGCAUAAGAUCUUAGGGUGAAAGUGGGGGAUCUUCGGACCUCGCCCGAUCGGAGCGGCCGAUGUCGGAUUAGCUAGUAGGUGGGGUAAAGGCUUACCUAGGCGACGAUCCGGUGCGGGUCUGAGAGGAUGAUCCGCCACACUGGGACUGAGACACGGCCCAGACUCCUACGGGAGGCAGCAGUGGGGAAUUUUGGACAAUGGGCGCAAGCCUGAUCCAGCCAUGCCGCGUGAGUGAAGAAGGCCUUCGGGUUGUAAAGCUCUUUCGGACGGAAAGAAAUUGCUUCGGAUAAUACCUGGAGUAGAUGACGGUACCGUAAGAAGAAGCACCGGCUAACUACGUGCCAGCCGCCGCCGUAA
rnacentral:rRNA from 1 species